rnacentral:rRNA from 1 species
GACGAACGCUGGCGGCGUGCUUAACACAUGCAAGUCGAACGGAAAGGCCCUGCUUUUGUGGGGUGCUCGAGUGACGAACGGGUGAGUAACACGUGAGUAACCUGCCCUUGACUUUGGGAUAACUUCAGGAAACUGGGGCUAAUACCGGAUAGGAGCUCCUGCUGCAUGGUGGGGGUUGGAAAGUUUCGGCGGUUGGGGAUGGACUCGCGGCUUAUCAGCUUGUUGGUGGGGUAGUGGCUUACCAAGGCUUUGACGGGUAGCCGGCCUGAGAGGGUGACCGGCCACAUGGGGACUGAGAUACGGCCCAGACUCCUACGGGAGGCAGCAGUGGGGAAUAUUGCACAAUGGGCGGAAGCCUGAUGCAGCAACGCCGCGUGCGGGAUGACGGCCUUCGGGUUGUAAACCGCUUUCGCCUGUGACGAAGCGUGAGUGACGGUAAUGGGUAAAGAAGCACCGGCUAACUACGUG